UACGAAGGGGGCUAGCGUUGUUCGGAAUUACUGGGCGUAAAGCGCACGUAGGCGGCUUCUUAAGUCGGUGGUGAAAUCCUGGAGCUCAACUCCAGAACCGCCUUCGAUACUGGGAAGCUCGAGUCCGGGAGAGGUGAGUGGAACUGCGAGUGUAGAGGUGAAAUUCGUAGAUAUUCGCAAGAACACCAGUGGCGAAGGCAGCUCACUGGCCCGGUACUGACGCUGAGGUGCGAAAGCGUGGGGAGCAAACAGG
rnacentral:rRNA from 1 species